rnacentral:rRNA from 1 species
UGAGGAAUAUUGGUCAAUGGGCGAGAGCCUGAACCAGCCACGUCGCGUGAAGGAAGACUGACCUUACGGUUUGUAAACUUCUUUUGUAGAGGGGUAAUGGCAGAUACGUGUAUUUGCGUGAAAGUACUCUACGAAUAAGCAUCGGCUAACUCCGUGCCAGCAGCCGCGGUAAUACGUAGGUGGCAAGCGUUGUCCGGUAUUAUUGGGCGUAAAGCGCGCGCAGGUGGUUUAGAAAGUCUGAUGUGAAAGCCCACGGCUCAACCGUGGAGGGUCAUUGGAAACUAGUAAACUUGAGUGCAGGAGAGAAAAGUGGAAUUCCUAGUGUAGCGGUGAAAUGCGUAGAGAUUAGGAGGAACACCGGUGGCGAAAGCGGCUUUUUGGCCUGCAACUGACACUGAGGCGCGAAAGCGUGGGGAGCAAACAGG